rnacentral:rRNA from 1 species
UGAGUGCGAGCUGCUACGGCAGCGAAGUUGGUGAUGUCAUGCUUCCAAGAAAAGCCCUAUACCCGUUAAGGCAUCAUGGCCUGUACCCGAAACCGACACAGGUGGGGUGGUAGAGAAUACCGAGGGGCGCGAGGUAACUCUCUCUAAGGAACUCGGCAAAAUGGCCCCGUAACUUCGGGAGAAGGGGUGCCACCGCAAGGUGGUCGCAGUGAAGAGGCCCAGGCGACUGUUUACCAAAAACACAGGUCUCCGCUAAGUCGCAAGACGAUGUAUGGGGGCUGACGCCUGCCCAGUGCCGGAAGGUUAAGGAAGCUGGUCAGCGCAAGCGAAGCUAGCGACUGAAGCCCCGGUGAACGGCGGCCGUAACGAUAACGGUCCUAAGGUAGCGAAAUUCCUUGUCGGGUAAGUUCCGACCCGCACGAAAGGCGUAACGAUCUGGGCGCUGUCUCGGAGAGAGGCUCGGCGAAAUAGAAUUGUCUGUGAAGAUGCGGACUACGUGCACCCGGACAGAAAGACCCUAUGAAGCUUUACUGUAACUUGAAAUUGGAAUUGGGCUCGCAAUGCGCAGGAUAGGUGGGAGGCUUUGAUCAUCGGCUUGCGGGUCGAUGUGAGCCAACGGUGAGAUACCACUCUUUGCGAGCUAGGAUUCUAACGGCCACCCGUCAUCCGGGGGCCGGACAGUACCUGGUGGGCAGUUUGACUGGGGCGGUCGCCUCCUAAAAGGUAACGGAGGCGCGCAAAGGUUUGCUCAGGCUGGUUGGAAAUCAGCCGACGAGUGUAAAAGCAGAAGCAAGCUUGACUGUGAGACCAACAAGUCGAACAGGGAGGAAACUCGGCUUUAGUGAUCCGACGGUUCUGAGUGGAAGGGCCGUCGCUCAACGGAUAAAAGUUACUCUAGGAUAACAGGCUGAUCUCCCCCAAGAGUUCACAUCGACGGGGAGGUUUGGCACCUCGAUGUCGGCUCAUCGCAACCUGGGGCUGAAGUCGGUCCCAAGGGUUGGGCUGUUCGCCCAUUAAAGCGGUACGCGAGCUGGGUUCAGAACGUCGUGAGACAGUUCGGUCCAUAUCCGGUGCACGCGCAGGAAUAUUGAGAGGAUUUCUCCCUAGUACGAGAGGACCGGGAGGAACGCACCUCUGGUGUACCAGUUAUCGUGCCAACGGUAAACGCUGGGUAGCCAUGUGCGGAGUGGAUAACCGCUGAAAGCAUCUAAGUGGGAAGCCCACCUCAAGAUGAGUAUUCCCAUGGCGUAAGCCAGUAAGGUCACGGGAAGAACACCCGUUGAUAGGCUCUAUGUGGAAGCGCAGUAAUGCGUGAAGCAGAGGAGUACUAAUAGACCGAGGGCUUGACC